rnacentral:rRNA from 1 species
AGCGAACGCUGGCGGCAGGCCUAACACAUGCAAGUCGAACGAAGUCUUCGGACUUAGUGGCGGACGGGUGAGUAACACGUGGGAACGUACCUUUUGGUUCGGAACAACUCAGGGAAACUUGAGCUAAUACCGGAUGAGCCCUUAGGGGGAAAGAUUUAUCGCCGAAAGAGCGGCCCGCGUUAGAUUAGCUAGUUGGUGAGGUAAGGGCUCACAAAGGCUACGAUCUAUAGCUGGUCUGAGAGGAUGAUCAGCCACACUGGGACUGAGACACGGCCCAGACUCCUACGGGAGGCAGCAGAGGGGAAUCUUGCGCAAUGGGCGAAAGCCUGACGCAGCCAUGCCGCGUGAAUGAUGAAGGUCUUAGGAUUGUAAAAUUCUUUUACCAGGGACGAUAAUGACGGUACCUGGAGAAAAAGCCCCGGCUAACUUCGUGCCAGCAGCCGCGGUAAGAC